rnacentral:rRNA from 1 species
UACGUAGGGUGCAAGCGUUGUCCGGAAUUAUUGGGCGUAAAGAGCUCGUAGGCGGUCUGUCGCGUCUGCUGUGAAAACUCAGGGCUUAACCCUGGGCCUGCAGUGGGUACGGGCAGACUAGAGUGCGGUAGGGGAGACUGGAAUUCCUGGUGUAGCGGUGAAAUGCGCAGAUAUCAGGAGGAACACCGAUGGCGAAGGCAGGUCGCUGGGACGUUACUGACGCUGAGACGCGAAAGCGUGGGGAGCAAACAGG